ensembl:lncRNA
UUCUAUGCCUCUGUAAUUUUCACAGACUGAUCCAAAUUUCCGUACUCAGAGCACUACAGAGUAAAUGAUUUCCACCCUCCACUUGAUGGUUCCUCAGGAACACAUGAUUCCUGGGCAGUGUUUAUAAUAUCAGCAAUUUAUUGAGAGGCUGUCAUGGUCAGCUUCUCAACAUGUGUUAUCUUUAUCCUUGCAACAUCUAAAUGAGCUCCACUUCUCCAGGUGUGCAUCUCAGAGACACUUGCAAGUGAUCAUGGAGAUAUGUAAAACGAUAUUAAAGCACUGCAUGUACAGCAAAAAAAUGGAAAUGAACUACAUAUCCAUAAGAAGAGAAGAAUAAUUAAACCGUGG